UACGGAGGGUGCAAGCGUUAUCCGGAUUCACUGGGUUUAAAGGGUGCGUAGGCGGAUAGGUAAGUCCGUGGUGAAAUCCUGCAGCUUAACUGCAGAACUGCCGUGGAUACUAUCUAUCUUGAAUGUCGUGGAGGUUAGCGGAAUAUGUCAUGUAGCGGUGAAAAUGCUUAGAUAUGACAUAGAGCACCCAUUGCGAAGGCAGCUAACUACGCGAUAAUUGACGCUGAUGCACGAAAGCGUGGGGAGCAAACAGG
rnacentral:rRNA from 1 species